UGGGGAAUUUUGGACAAUGGGGGAAACCCUGAUCCAGCCAUCCCGCGUGUGCGAUGAAGGCCUUCGGGUUGUAAAGCACUUUUGGCAGGAAAGAAACGUCAUGGGUUAAUACCCCGUGAAACUGACGGUACCUGCAGAAUAAGCACCGGCUAACUACGUGCCAGCAGUCGCGGUAAUACGUAGGGUGCAAGCGUUAAUCGGAAUUACUGGGCGUAAAGCGUGCGCAGGCGGUUCGGAAAGAAAGAUGUGAAAUCCCAGAGCUCAACUUUGGAACUGCAUAUAUAACUACCGGGCUAGGGUGUGUCAGAGGGAGGAGGAAUUCCGCGUGUAGCAGUGAAAUGCGUAGAUAUGCGGAGGAACAACGAUGGCGAAGGCAGCCUCCUGGGAUAACAAUGACGCUCAUGCACGAAAGCGUGGGGAGCAAACAGG
rnacentral:rRNA from 1 species